rnacentral:tRNA from 1 species
GCCGAAGUGGUGAAAUUGGCAAACACGCUGCGUUCAGGGCGCAGUGGGCUUACGCCCUUGGGGGUUCGAGUCCCCCCUUCGGCA